GGUUGCGAUCAUACCAGCAGUAAUGCACUGGAUCCCAUCAGAACUCUGCAGUUAAGCGUGCUUGGGCGAGAGUAGUACUAGGAUGGGUGACCCCCUGGGAAGUCCUCGUGUUGCAACCC
rnacentral:rRNA from 1 species